UGGCUUCUGCAAGGGGCUCCUUUCCACUCCGUGCUGUUGGUGGUACAGCCAUGGCUCAUCUCACUGCCGUUGAACAGCUAGAGUUUACUGAGCUCAGUAAACUCUAGCACUGGCUACGUGCCAGGAGCAAAUGCUUUACGUUCACAGCUGAAUCCUCAAGGCCACCCAAUCAGAUGAGUACUGUUCUUAUUCCUCUUUGACGAAGGAAGAAACCGAGGCACGGAGAAGUGAAAUCGGGUGCUGUUAAGAGCUUAGGAAAUGCUUAUUGGGGGAAUGAGUGACGGAAACCCCCCAAAUGAUCCCCAGCAGGAUCAUGGGUAAAUAAAACCCAGAAUUCUAAGUUUACUGAGACGUAUAAACAGUUGUCAUGGAGAAACUUUCAAGCAAGGCAUGGACUCAGGUUUGCAAGAGUUCUAGUGCUCGUGGGGAUUUUGGGGGGGUCUGGCUUGUGGGGAAGGCGAAGACCUGGCUGCUAGCUGGCCAAACUCCAUGGAAGUGACCCUAGGACACCCCGCCUUCUCUUCCAGUGGUCUCCCGUGUGGUGGCGGAGUGGAGUGGCUGGAGCUGCUGUGUCAAGUCCUGUCAGAUCUCCUAUCGCAUCCGUCGGAGACGUGUCCUGCGGGAGCCAAGGAAUGGGGGUGCUCCCUGCCCCUCUCUGGAAGAGCGGGCUGACUGUGUGGAUUAUCGGAGCCGCCAGGGAGUGGAGUGCCAACAGUCUUUAAUCCCUGCUCUGAUAACCACAGGCAGCUACGGGAAGGAGCGGAAAAAGCGACAUGUCCCGAAGAAGCAGGAGACAGUAGGGUACUGUGUUCAGUUCCAGCUGGGGCCCGUUCCAGGGAGCUGCCGGCAGGUGAGGGCACCCCACGCUCAGUGGACAAGUUAUCUGACCCAGGGCCACACGGUUUGUGUGAGCUGUGAGUGGCCUGCCCAGGACGCCAGGAGCCGGCGCUGCUACGGGGAUGGCGGCGGGGCCAAAGGGAAUCAGCUGUUGCAGUGGCAAGCGGCCGGCCACCCCCCAUGCCGAGGGACCUGGGAGAGGCUCAGGCAGCUCCGGGACUGUUCCUGCCCUGAGGUCCACAGCCUCGUCUUCGUCUAGCGCCCGUGACCCCCUACCUGUCCAGAUCCCCUCUUUCCGAAGCCUCCCUGGCUGUUAGGGAAACCCCCAGGGCUUGGGAUCCCAUAGGAUGAGGGAGUGGGGAGAAGUAUGCAAAUGUGAGACUGGAGGAAAAAGCCUUGUCCUUAUGUUGACAGUGAAAAUAGCUUUAUGCUUCCCCUCAGUGCCAGCUGAGUCAUAGCCUUAUUGACAUCUCCCGCUUAGUCCAAGGCUUCCCAAAGUUCAUCUCCUAAACAUGCUCGCGUGGCUUUUACCCUAUUCUCCUUACCUGCAGACUCCUCCACCCCCUUCUUUUUUA